GCUGGCGUAGCUCAACGGCAGAGCAGCUGAUUUGUAAUCAGCAGGUUGUCGGUUCGAAUCCGACCGCCAGCUCCA
rnacentral:tRNA from 1 species